GACGGAAGGUGCAAGCGUUGCUCGGAAUCACUGGCGUAAAGGCGCGUAGGCGGCCGCCUAAGUCAGACGUGAAAUCCCUACGGCUUAACCGGGAACGUGCGUCUGAUACUGGAUGGCUUGAAUCCGGAGAGGGAGUGUGGAAUUCCGAGGAUUGUAGGCGGUGAAAUGACGUAGAUAUCAGGAGGAAGACCGGUGGCGGAAAGCGACUCUCUGGACGGCAACUGACGCUGAGGCACGAAAGCGUGGGAGCAAACAGG
rnacentral:rRNA from 1 species